rnacentral:rRNA from 1 species
CGUAGGGGACGAGCGUUGUCCGGAUUCAUUGGGCGUAAAGCGCGCGUAGGCGGCUCGGAAAGUCGGUCGUGAAAUGCCGGGGCUCAACCCCGGGACUGCGUCCGAUACUUCCGGGCUGGAGGUAGGUAGGGGAGAUCGGAAUUCCUGGUGUAGCGGUGAAAUGCGCAGAUAUCAGGAGGAACACCGGUGGCGAAGGCGGAUCUCUGGGCCUUACCUGACGCUGAGGCGCGAAAGCUAGGGGAGCGAACAGGAUUAGAUACCCUGGUAGUCCUAGCCGUAAACGUUGGGUGCUAGGUGUGGGCGGACAUCGACCCCGUCCGUGCCGAAGCUAACGCAUUAAGCACCCCGCCUGGGGAGUACGGCCGCAAGGCUA